rnacentral:rRNA from 1 species
GACAGAGGAGGCAAGCGUUAUCCGGAUUCACUGGGUUUAAAGGGAGCGUAGGCGGAAUAAUAAGUCAGUGGUGAAAGCCCCGGGCUCAACUUGGGAAUUGCCAUUGAUACUGUUAUUCUUGAGUUCGGUUGAGGUAGGCGGAAUGUUGCAUGUAGCGGUGAAAUGCUUAGAUAUGCAACAGAACACCGAUUGCGAAGGCAGCUUACCAAGCCGACACUGACGCUGAGGCUCGAAAGCGUGGGGAUCAAACAGG